rnacentral:lncRNA from 1 species
AUGCGCGUCGGUGCCUUCCCCGCGCUCCUCUCGAAUCCAGCGCCCGCCCCACCUCCCGCCUCCCCCGAGCCCCCCUCCCCCUCCGGCCCCCUCCCCUGUUCUGCCCCCGGCAGCCGGCCCGGCCAAGAACACCUGCCUCACUGCCUGCCUCCUCCACGCCGCCCUCCGCCCGGGCGGCUGGCACCUCCCUGCCCUCCGGGCCCCUUCGCGGAGGUCCCCGCCAGCGCCCCCAGGGAGGUGUGUGCUGGGGAGGGGGUGUUUCUCACCACCUCUACUGUCAACGCCCCUGGGAACGGAGCAGAGGGUGGCACCUCCCUCCAGAACGCCUGGCGCGCGAGCCUCACACUCACCUGCCACCGCCGCCGCCGCGUCUCGCCAGCGCGCGGAACCCGACGCGCGUGGGUCCCGGGGGCGCGGAGACCCAAACGUACAGCUGCGAGGUGCGUGACUGCUUACAGAAUAGAUGAAACUGAUGCCUUAGGGGUCAGACGUGUGGUGGAGACGCAGCUGGAUGGACAUCAGAAGAGAAGGGCUCCCUUCGUCCAUUGCCGCUGCCAGUGCCCGCAAGGCUGGCUCAGACCAGGGAGUCCUGUGCAGUCUGCUCUCCUCCUCCGAAUGGGUCAGAAGUUAGAAGUUACAGGAAAAACGUUUCAGAGCAAAAGCCACACCCUGCCCAGAGAAAAACAAUUCCUGUCCACUGCUCAGCUCAGCAGCAAAACUGAAACUAGUGACUCGAAUUUCAAAUCACUACGAGGGAUAGAUACAUCGGAAAAACUGCAACUGAGGACGAAGAGGUUAAAAAAAUCUUCCCUGGGCAAGAAGAAGAGAACAAAACCUUUGAGAUAAGCUUUCCUAACACAGCUGUGCAUAUCCAGCAUGAUCAACGGUUGUUCAAAAGUAACCAGGUCUUUCUGUCCCUCCCUCGUAUGUGAGUGAGCAUCUUUCCCGGGAAGUCAAGGUCCAGACAUGGAGAUUCAGCCUCGCAAGGCCAAAUGCAAGUUGAAGAUGAAAACAAACCAGAAAAGUCCAGAUGGUCAGGGAAAAGAAAAUUCAGUCUUCAAGGCCAAACACAGGCUGCUGGCGAGGCGCCAACCAGCACAGCCACUUGGUUCCCAUUCCCACCUAAAACCCCAGCACGUGCUCCCCCUCUCCCACCUAAAACUCUAGAUAAAAACCUCUACCUCUUUCCCUUCAAGGAGGUGGAUCUGAGUUCUAACUCCCAUCUCCUCAUCUGGCUGCCUUUUGAUAAUAGUAAACCUCUUUUCUUGCCACAAGCCUGGUGUUUCAGUUUUUUUCUUUAUUGGCCCUACUAUGUGGCUGGUAAAUGAACCUGUGUUUGUGUUCAGUUACAAAACCAAUAGGAAAAUUAUAGCUCUACAGUUUUUCGCUCUUUCAAUGCAACCAAAUCCUUACGUUAUCCUUUCCAGAAAGUCCUGAUAUGAGGGACACUGCCUUCCCUGAGGCCCACUCGUUUUCACAUCCUCGGGGCUGUCCCCCACAGUUGAAAGGAUUAGUUCACAGUGUCCCUAGAAACUCCAUCUGGUCAUUUUUCUGCCCCUCCUACUUGUGGCAGGUCAAACGUCCUGAAGGCCAAGAAGGGUUUUGACCUUUGAGCAAGACUCCUUCUCUGGGUGGGGUGGGGGUGGCAUCUGCACAGAGUCCAGUGGGAUAAACUCUAUUCCUUAUUCUUGGAGUUCAGUGUUUUGAUUUUCCUUUUUUUUUUUUUUUGAGGAAGAUUAGCCCUGAGCUAACAUCUGCCGCCAAUCCUCCUCUUUUUGCUGAGGAAGACUAGCCCUGAGCUAACAUCCAUGCCCAUCGUCUUCUACUUUAUAUGUGGUAUGCCUGCCACAGCAUGGCUUGAUGAGUGGUACAUAGGUCUGUACCUGGGAUCCAAACCAGUGAACCCCGGGCUGCCAAAGUGGAAUGUGUGAACUUAACUACUGUGCCACCGGGCCAGCCUCUCACUGUUUUGAUUUGAUUAUUACUGGCCUGACUUUCUAGCUAUUUUCCUGUCCCUUUCUCUAAUAAGAGGAACUCUGUAAGUUUGGAGAUGUUCCCAACCCAUCUAUGAUGCACCUGCUGUGUACUCUACCACCACCACCACCCUGGCAGCGGGGUGGCAGGCAGCCCGGGUGGGUUCCCCACACCUGGUCACCAGGCCCUGGAAGCUUCUCAGGCCCAGCUCUGUGCUGGCACCAGGCCAUUGCUCAGCAAACAAAGAACAGUCAGCACAUUGUUCUCAAUCGAGUUCACAGUGUAAAACCCCUCUGGGCCAGGCACACGCUCCCUCUGCUCUCCUCUCAGUGGGUACUUGGACUCUCUAAUUGACUGGUGCUGAUGCCUGGCUGGGGAGAGGGUGGGAGAAGAGAGGCAGGGUGCAAAGGUGAGCCUGUGGUGCAGAAGCACCUUCCACUUCCCCAGCCAGGUGGGUGGCACCUUUCAUGCAGCCAUCCUUCCAAAGGUCGUGGUUCCUCCCCACCAUCCAUAGACACAGUAAGUGAUACCAACCCUGAUAUCAGUUUCCCUACAUUAAACCCAGCAGAUAUGGGGUUAAAACCAAAACACUCAUUCCCUGCUUACUCCCUGGCUUCCUGGCUUCAGAAUCCACCAUCCUCCAUGGAGACGGACACUGACAAGGACAAGCACCUGGAUUCAUUAUCUCCUCCCCACAAAGAGAUACAGGCUGGUGGGAAAGCUGCUGUCCAGCAAGGCCAUAUGCUCCCCCUCCCCUACCUAAAACCCCAAAUAAAAACCCUUCCUUUUAGCUUUUCA